rnacentral:snRNA from 1 species
GCAUGUGAGGGUGAUCUGGAUGUGACAUAUGUCACCCCAUUAAUCAUCAGGGUUGAUUUGGCUGAUCUGGCUAGGGAGACAAGUGUCCCCUUCCUCCCUCACCACUUCAUGUGCUUCCCUCCUGAAGUUGCAUUCUCAGACUAAGACAACGAAUGACCUUCCCUAAUAGAGGAGGACGGUAUUUUUUUUGGUCAGGGAUACAUCAGUAGCUGUGCUCACCUGCUACAACCUCCAAACAAGCUCUCAAGGUCCAGUUGUAGGAGGAGGUAGGGUGGUCAAUCUUGAAUAAAUUUAAAACAAACAGACAAGCAAAAAGUGGUAUGU